rnacentral:rRNA from 1 species
CCGACGGGUGGAGGUAACACGUAUGCAAUCCACCUGUAACAGGGGAGUAACCGGAGAAAUCGGACUAAUACCCAUAAUAUGGGCGCUCCGCAUGGAGAGUCCAUUAAAGAGAGCAAUCUUGGUUACAGACGAGCAUGCGCUCCAUUAGCCAGUUGGCGGGGUAACGGCCCACCAAGGCGACGAUGGAUAGGGGUUCUGAGAGGAAGGUCCCCCACAUUGGAACUGAGACACGGUCCAA